AUUUGACGCUGGCGGCGUGCCUAACACAUGCAAGUCGAUCGGUAACAGGUGUAGCAAUACAUGCUGACGAGAGGCGGACGGGUGAGUAACGCUUGGGAAUCUGCCUAUUAGUGGGGGACAACCCGGGGAAACUCGGGCUAAUACCGCAUACGCUCUACGGAGGAAAGCCGGGGACCGCAAGGCCUGGCGCUAAUAGAUGAGCCCAAGUCGGAUUAGCUAGUUGGUAGGGUAAUGGCCUACCAAGGCGACGAUCCGUAGCUGGUCUGAGAGGACGACCAGCCACACUGGGACUGAGACACGGCCCAGACUCCUACGGGAGGCAGCAGUGGGGAAUAUUGGACAAUGGGGGAAACCCUGAUCCAGCGACGCCGCGUGGGUGAAGAAGGCCUGCGGGUUGUAAAGCCCUUUCGGUGGGGAAGAAAAGCCUCGACCUAACACGUCGGGGUAUUGACGUAACCCACAAAAGAAGCACCGGCUAACUCUGUGCCAGCAGCCGCGGUAAUACAGAGGGUGCGAGCGUUAAUCGGAAUUACUGGGCGUAAAGCGCGCGUAGGCGGCUAUACAAGUCGAGUGUGAAAUCCCCGGGCUCAACCUGGGAACUGCAUUCGAGACUGUAUGGCUUGAGUAUGGGAGAGGGAGGCGGAAUUUCAGGUGUAGCGGUGAAAUGCGUAGAUAUCUGAAGGAACAUCAGUGGCGAAAGCGGGCCUCCUGGACCAAUAC
rnacentral:rRNA from 1 species